rnacentral:misc_RNA from 1 species
AACGCAUCUUGCGCUCCUUGGUAUUCCGAGGAGCAUGCCUGUUUGAGUGUCAUUAAAUUCUCAACCAAUAUCAGCUUUUGCUGGUUUGGCUUGGAAGUGGGGGAAUUGUUUUGCAGGCUUUCAAAAGUCCGCUCCCCUGAAAUGCAUUAGCAGUGCCCUUGUGGUCGUACAGCUAUUGGUGUGAUAACUAUCUAUGCCAUUAGUUUGAUCCACAUACUUUGGGGUUGUGCUGCUUCUAAUCGUCUUCUUUACUGAGACAAUAAAUGACAAUUUUGGCCUCAAAUCAGGUAGGACUACCCGCUGAACUUAA